rnacentral:rRNA from 1 species
UACAGAGGGUGCGAGCGUUGUUCGGAAUUAUUGGGCGUAAAGGGUGCGUAGGCGGUUCCGCAAGUCCUGUGUGAAAUCUUCGGGCUCAACUCGAAGUCUGCACGGGAAACUGCGGGGCUUGAGUGUGGGAGAGGUGAGUGGAAUUCCCGGUGUAGCGGUGAAAUGCGUAGAUAUCGGGAGGAACCCCUGUGGCGAAAGCGGCUCACUGGACCAUAACUGACGCUGAUGCACGAAAGCUGGGGGAGCAAACAGG